GAUGAACGCUGGCGGCGUGCCUAAUACAUGCAAGUCGAGCGAACAGACGAGGAGCUUGCUCCUCUGACGUUAGCGGCGGACGGGUGAGUAACACGUGGAUAACCUACCUAUAAGACUGGGAUAACUUCGGGAAACCGGAGCUAAUACCGGAUAAUAUAUUGAACCGCAUGGUUCAAUAGUGAAAGACGGUUUUGCUGUCACUUAUAGAUGGAUCCGCGCCGCAUUAGCUAGUUGGUAAGGUAACGACUUACCAAGGCAACGAUGCGUAGCCGACCCGAGAGGGUGAUCGGCCACACUGGAACUGAGACACGGUCCAGACUCCUACGGGAGGCAGCAGUAGGGAAUCUUCCGCAAUGGGCGAAAGCCUGACGGAGCAACGCCGCGUGAGUGAUGAAGGUCUUCGGAUCGUAAAACUCUGUUAUUAGGGAAGAACAAAUGUGUAAGUAACUAUGCACGUCUUGACGGUACCUAAUCAGAAAGCCACGGCUAGCUACGUG
rnacentral:rRNA from 1 species